rnacentral:rRNA from 1 species
AUAGGGGAGCCGGAGGGAAACCGAGUCUUAAUUGGGCGUUAAGUUGCAGGGUAUAGACCCGAAACCCGGUGAUCUAGCCAUGGGCAGGUUGAAGGUUGGGUAACACUAACUGGAGGACCGAACCGACUAAUGUUGAAAAAUUAGCGGAUGACCUGUGGCUGGGGGUGAAAGGCCAAUCAAACCGGGAGAUAGCUGGUUCUCCCCGAAAGCUAUUUAGGUAGCGCCUCGUGAAUUCAUCUCCGGGGGUAGAGCACUGUUUCGGCUAGGGGGCCAUCCCGGCUUACCAACCCGAUGCAAACUGCGAAUACCGGAGAAUGUUAUCACGGGAGACACACGGCGGGUGCUAACGUCCGUCGUGAAGAGGGAAACAACCCAGACCGCCAGCUAAGGUCCCAAAGUCAUGGUUAAGUGGGAAACGAUGUGGGAAGGCCCAGACAGCCAGGAUGUUGGCUUAGAAGCAGCCAUCAUUUAAAGAAAGCGUAAUAGCUCACUGGUCGAGUCGGCCUGCGCGGAAGAUGUAACGGGGCUAAACCAUGCACCGAAGCUGCGGCAGCGACGCUUAUGCGUUGUUGGGUAGGGGAGCGUUC